AAAUUCACAGUUAAAUCAUAUCAAAUGUCUCAUUCUGUUGCAAUCAAAAGAAGCAUUUUUAUAAAAUUCAGUUGAGCAAUAUUAAUCAAUUCUACAUAAAUCAGGUUUCAACAACAGAAAAAUUUACUUCUACCCUAAAAUCUCUUAAAUGCUAAUUUUAUGCAUGUCAAAGAAUUUCUGAUGACAAUAUGUUACCUUUAUCUUUUAAUAUUUUCAUACUGAAUUCCUAAAAACGACAGGAUUGCAUGCAAGGUUAAUAUGCAUGUCCUUAUAUAAAUGUGUUUCUAUAUCCCCUAAAUACGUAUGUACAUACAGAUGCAGAUGCACAACAUACAGAUACCUAUUUGUGAUCACUUUCCCUUUGACUGCAGCGUUGUCCUUUGUAAUUCAUUUGCCCUACAGCAUCAGUUGUUCAAAUGUUUUCUAGGAAUUGCAUGUCUCUAUGCAGAUCAUGAUAGCAGCUAGAAGUUGUUUGCAAGGCCAGGCUUCACUUGCAUGUCUUAUUUUUGUAAAUAUUUUUUGUUGAUGUAGUGGAUGGAGGCUUAUUAAAAAUCCAUGUUCUUAGAAGUCCUCAGAUCCUGUCCUCAGAGGUGAUGUGCUAUAACUGAACAGAAGAUUGGUUUGCGAGUUUUGAUUUGGUGAUUUGAUGAGAUAAAGAGGCAAGGAAUAAACAGUUAAAAAAUAAAAAUAAUAAUAAAAAGGAAUUCUCCACCAAAGUAUCUCUUAGAAGGCUCAUGCUUUCACAAGUAUUAGACAAACUACCAGAUAACUCAAGUGAUUUAUGACUUAAUAGUGCUGAAAAGUCACCAGUGGAAAAGAAAAAAAAUAUUUCUCAAAUGUAAAACCCUUAGUAAUUUCCUUAAUUUUCAUUUUUAUGGAAAUAAUAAUAUAGAGAAGGCAAAGUUAUGGCUAGUUAUUAAAGUGUCAUCUGAUUACAUCACCAAUUUAUAAAGACGUUUUAAAAAAUAAAGCUUCAAGUCUGGUCUACAUAUAAAAUAAGAUAUGACAACAGUCUUCACAGGAGCAAAAAGAUCCUAGCUAUGUGUUUUGCCUUGAAGAAAUGAGUCAAGUACCCCUACCAGCUCAGAGAACAGCUGUGACAGUAGCACUUUGCAUUUCUACAGUCCUUUUCACCUCACAGUUUAAAAAAAUAAAAAAAUAAAAAAAAUAAAAAGAUGCUUAAUGUAACUGAUUCAAUGCAACAUCUCUGUCUAUGUCUGAAGAAAAUUUUGCUUAUUCCUUAGAAAAUUUAAAUUCCUUUGGUUUUGGGAACCCAACUUAAACUGGACCAGACUGUAUGUUUAAAGGUGCUGGAGUCCCCUGACCAGGAUGAGUCCCAGCUCACUGCAACAGCAGCAUCAAGUUUCUCCUGAAAGAAGGCUGAGGAGGGUGAAGGAAGGGGAGAAAUGAGUAGGCUGAGGAAGCAGGAGCGCAGAGCAUGGAGGACAGGGCUCAGACACCUCCUUGCUUUUAGCCCCUGGUCUUUCCUGAGGCUUAUUCCCAGGAAGGGACACUGACCCACUGCUGGGGACAGGUGAGAUGGCCUGACACCCUGCUGCUGCACCUCGCCAGGGAGAGCCCCGGCUCAUAAUUUAAGGCGGAUCAAUUCUACAGCUGACAUGAUAGAUGCUGUCAUCAAUAUUCGGAAACAGCAAUUUAUAUUUCUUCGUUCAGGGACACGGCCAUCGACGCACCUCGGUGGGGGUCCUACAUGCGAGUCGGGAGCAGGAUGUGGCCGGCAGACGGAGACUUGACUGAGACUUCCAGCCACGCAACUUAUUAAAAUAAUAAAUAUUUUCAUUAUCCACGGAAUCCAUUAUACUUCUCCGUUUUAGCAAUAGUUAACUAAUAAUUUGGAUUAAUUACCAAGCUAAAUCAUUAAAAAUUAAAUCCAUAUAUUUCGUUUCUUUAAAAGAGUGAUAGUUUGCAACCAUUUGUGUAUUACGCAUGUUAAGUGGGAGGGUGAUGAAAUAUGUUGUGUUAACUGAGCUUUGACAGCAUCUGUAUCCAUGCCACAUUAUGCUCUGGUCUUAUCAAAUCUCAGAAGCUACUGUGUAUAAAUAGACUGUGAUGAUAUUUGCGGGAGAGAAAUCAUUCACAAUAAUUUUUUGGCAUCUUCUGUAGUGACUAGAGAAGAACCGUCUAACGAAUAUAGCAUAUAAUAAUGCAAUAAAGGGGUAUAUAAGAGCCCGGGAUGAGGAGCACUUGUACUGAAUCAGAGUUAUGGUUCAGCACACGCUACCUAUCAGACAUAAACACAACUUUCAUCCUAAGGAAUUUCAGAGCAGAUUGCAAGUUGAAACGAAUAGGGAAACCCAAUUCAGAGGUCAUUUUGCUCUCUGCUGAAGCAACGAUUGGCACUGUGAUGGAACUUCGCAGUUACUUAAUGAAACAUUAUCGGCUUGAAGAUAUAUAGGUACGGGGGGAAGUAAUGCUGUCCAGUGAGUAAAAUUAUUUAUGAAUGUGCAUUUUAUUAUGUUUGGAAUACUCAACUACGGGCUGUGCAGCUGCACAGACUGCAUGGUACUGAGCUCAAUACAGGAAAAAAAACUGUGAAACUGGAUCGGCUGUGAUAUACAGCUGGCUGGACUAGAUAAUCCAGUGGUUUUACCUUGCUGUAAACUCUACGAGGUUAUGAAAGGAACUACGUUUAAAACUCCAUUAUGCUUAAGCCUGUAAGUAUCUAAUUAAAGUGGGGUGCUGUACUGAAAUUUAAAUAGCAACCCUCUUGUUAUAAAACAUAUGCAAUGGACUACUUAAGAGCCCACUGGACAAACAAAACACGUCCUAAAGCUCCGGGGGACUGAUUCUGCAGCACCUACUCUAAUUUAGGAGCACUUGUCCCUGAGGUGCCGAUACUGCUCGGCGUGGUGACGAGUUGCAGGAGCAAGACUAAAUAAUGCUUCCUGCCUUCUCCAUGCUUUGGAAGAGAUUUGUGUCUGGGCUUUAUGUAAACACCCACCGAGGAACUGUAUAUGUCAUGUCCCAGCUUACACAGGAGCCUGGAGCAGUUGCUGGAGCUCUCUGUGAAGACUGACUUGCAAAGAGAUGUGCAUUGCACCCUGAAAAAAGUGUACCUGUGCUCGGUGGCCUUCCCUCCGAGCAGGGUAGCAAUCUGCCCUCCGGGGGAAAUGCCGAUGGAUUAGUUUUUUUGGGCAAGAGCACCUCUGCGUUGGCGUGGCACAUGUGGGGUAACGAAGGAGAGAAUCACAUCCUUGAAACACACUGUACCAAUGCUGAGGAAUUUCCUUUGCUACUCACCAGAAACGUAUUUAAACUGCUUAUUUCUGUAUCUCACAGUACCUCUGGAACUCCUUUCCUGGUCUGCGAAAGCGUUCGGCUAAGGUCCUGUGAAUUCCCUGGGAAUUAAUACAUUGCUCACCGGGUAAACACUGUUUUAAAGGUAGGUUAUGCUGAAGAGAUACUAGAGAGAGAUUUUUCACACAGGAUGUGAAGAAUGUAGUAUUUCUCACCUCCCCCUUAUUUUAUGUUGCAUUAAAAUUAUCUUUACUCUUCCUCCGGCAGUUGCUAUGCCGCACUCAAGACAGAGAGUCUGGGAAGUGGGAAAUGUCAACUUUUAAGAUGAUGUUCAGCUUUCUUGUUACACGCAUUCUUUAUGUAAUGGGUUUGAAUUACGUGUUGUUCACAGGCUUUCAGCUCUUCUUAGAAAGUUAGCUUGACUGGGCACAGUUGCUAGCUUAUUGUUAAUAAAGAGUUGAUGACACAGGAAGGAGCCCAAAUAGGGGCCGAGUAAUUUCUAGGUGAAUCUUUAAAUAUAUACAUAUAGUGAGCAGGAUUGGAUGGCACAUAGUUUAUUUGUAUUUUUUGCAACACCAUGCUUCCCUAGAGAGGCAGGCUUCACUCUCUGCAAGAGCUGCAAACCUCGUUGCCAAGUCCCAUAGCAAGGGGUGACCGAGGGGGAUCGGUGACUGCAGGAAAGCCAUGGGUUGCAACAGGCAGCAUAAAAUGUGUUCCUUCAGUCAGGGGCCUGAGCUCCUUCCAAAUCUGUGCUCAUUUAUUGCAGGUUACGGUUAGGAUCAUGCUAUGCUUUGUCAUAUAUAGGACACACAUCAUGGAGAAAGAAAAAUCAGGGCUGGAAGGGUAACCUGCUGGUGUGGGGUCAUAUACAAGGAGCUUCAAAAAUGCCAUCAAGGCCAGCACUUGGCUGCUAAGUUGAGAUUUUCAAGUGACAUUAAUUUCAAUGCAGUUAGUCUUGAUGUACUCUGCUCUGCCUGAGAAUCGUAGCUGAUGGGAAAGAUAACACAGCAAUAAAAAUAUACAUGCAAGAAAUGUAAAAGAAAAAAAAAUCUCAUGUAUUAAAACAUAUUAAAAACAUAAAACAUGCCGCCUAUGUUGCCAUCAUUAUAUAUUACCGUCUGAAAUUUAAUUCACUCAGUGCUGCUCACGCUGUUUGUUUACUUUUUUCUGUUGAUCUUGGUUUGGGUGAUGCAUUUAGCCUACAGAAUUUCACUUCCAACUUUCC